rnacentral:lncRNA from 1 species
CAAGAAUUGCUUUUCCAAGAGCUCUAGAGCCCUGCUGCAGGCCUAUGCCGCAUAGGAAGGGCUUUAGGAACAGUGUCAUGGUAAUUAUAGCCUCAGAGGGUACAGCGUAUCUGGAGGGAGCAGAAGUGUCUUUAUAAAGAUCCGGUCUCUAUCUGCAAUAUGGACACCACGCAGCAAGACGCUCAUCCAAAAUCAGAAGUGCUCUGUUCGGGUGAAUGAAAUAAUCCUUUAGUAGCAGCUCAGCCGCACCAGUUGAUGAGGCCUCAUUUAUCUUGGACAACCAUUAAUUGCUGAGCUUCGAGAUCAGCCAGACCCCUGAAAGAAAUACAUAGGAGAUAAUGAGCUAAAUUCGACUGCAGAAAAGAGUAACUGGUUGUUUUGUGUUCCUGGUUUGCCACGUCUUCUGACCUGCAGCUGGUGUCCUGGCAGUGUGCAGAGGUCCGAUCAAGACUGGAUUUAGAUGUGGUAUAGCCCCAACCCAGAGAAGCCGGCCAAGCAGCUCUUGGACUCAUAGGUCCUGAAGCAGGUGUACAGUGAAAAUACCUGCAGCAGAGAGUCUCAUCUGUCCAGGGCAUCAUCGUCCAGUCUAUAGAUGAAGGCCUGUAGAACUAUAGAUGUGUCCCUGGAAACCUCCCCCUGACCCACUUCGGUCCACAGCAAGACCAUUAAUCUGAACCUCCGUGUCCUGCCCACUGUGUGAAGGCGUUUUGACAUUGCGGUCUGCAGUACUGCUGAGCUGCAAUAGCACACAACUGAAGGGCAUCACCAGCCACCCAGAUGCAGCGAGAACAAAUGAAACAUGGCAGGAUCACCUGCGUGACCACAGUGAGCCCGAUGACUCAGCGACUGUUGAACUGAACGCAGUGCGGCGCCACAAUGACACAUCGUACAAACGAGAGGGGACGCGGAACACGGAGGAUGAUGUAAAAGUUGGGGAACCGCAGGCGGUGUGUUUAGAGCUGCUACCUGCCAUUUGGAGGACACGGGCUUGAAUCCCCCUGCUGCAGGAUCCUUGAUCAAGGUACUUAGCCUGAAUUGAUGCAGUAAAAAAAAAUAUUGUGCACUGUUAAUGGGUAAAUAGCUUCAUGCUGUAAGUUGCUUUGGAGAAAAUUUAUCAGUGGAAAGAUUUUAAAGAAAUUUUGUAGAACCUCUUGGUUUUUGGGGAAAACCAGGUGCAUUAGGAUCUAAACCCGGAAAUAAGAGCGUUGUGUCGAUCCCAACACGCCAGAACACUCCACUUGUGCAGCGAGAGCGGGGUGACAAGUCGAACAGAGUCCCCCGGGGCAAGCGAGCGAGCGCCGCACCCGUCUGGCAAAUUGACAUCUCUGACCCAGCGCCAGGGGCCACAUCCAGCCCACUUUUAAAUACCAG